rnacentral:rRNA from 1 species
GAAGUUAGCGGCGGACGGGUGAGUAACACGUGGGUAACCUGCCCAUAAGACUGGGAUAACUCCGGGAAACCGGGGCUAAUACCGGAUAACAUUUUGAACUGCAUGGUUCGAAAUUGAAAGGCGGCUUCGGCUGUCACUUAUGGAUGGACCCGCGUCGCAUUAGCUAGUUGGUGAGGUAACGGCUCACCAAGGCAACGAUGCGUAGCCGACCUGAGAGGGUGAUCGGCCACACUGGGACUGAGACACGGCCCAGACUCCUACGGGAGGCAGCAGUAGGGAAUCUUCCGCAAUGGACGAAAGUCUGACGGAGCAACGCCGCGUGAGUGAUGAAGGCUUUCGGGUCGUAAAACUCUGUUGUUAGGGAAGAACAAGUGCUAGUUGAAUAAGCUGGCACCUUGACGGUACCUAACCAGAAAGCCACGGCUAACUACGUGCCAGCAGCCGCGGUAAUACGUAGGUGGCAAGCGUUAUCCGGAAUUAUUGGGCGUAAAGCGCGCGCAGGUGGUUUCUUAAGUCUGAUGUGAAAGCCCACGGCUCAACCGUGGAGGGUCAUUGGAAACUGGGAGACUUGAGUGCAGAAGAGGAAAGUGGAAUUCCAUGUGUAGCG